CCAGCAUUUCUAAAUUAAAAAAUUAAGUUAAUAGUGCUAUAUAAAGGGCAAUCGAGACUUCGUUGAAUGAAGAAAUCCUUACUUUUGCUAAAACUGUUUCGCCUGUAGUCAAAGCUGCAAUAAACACCUUCUGAUAGACAUCCCAAAUCUCAUCUUUGUAUUUACCAAGCUUUGCAUAUGCUUCCUGUUGCGAAAAAAGCGCAACUAUCUCCUGAGGGUUCUGAUCAGGAACUUUAAGAAUACUAUUGGACAUUUUGAACUCCAGAUUUCCGUAAAACGAAAAGUUAUGAAUAUUCAGAAAAGACUCAAUUAAUUUCUGCUUUAUGAAAUAUCAAUCAAUAAGGUAAUUAUCCAAAUACCCAAUAUUCAAGUCCCAGCGCAAAACUAGGGUUUUAUAGUGAUAGGCGAUGAGUGCGUUUUGAACAGCUAGUAGAUUUGCUAUUUGCAGCUUUCACAUUUUUUAAGUGUUGAUUUUUAUUUUUUGAAUUAAAGUUUAUUUCAUCUACAAAUUCUUUUUUACUGAAUACGAACGGUAGCGAAUCAACUUUA